rnacentral:rRNA from 1 species
GGGGGAUAUUGCGCAAUGGGGGCAACCCUGACGCAGCAACGCCGCGUGAAGGAUGAAGGUUUUCGGAUUGUAAACUUCUUUUAUUAAGGACGAAAAAUGACGGUACUUAAUGAAUAAGCUCCGGCUAACUACGUGCCAGCAGCCGCGGUAAUACGUAGGGAGCAAGCGUUGUCCGGAUUUACUGGGUGUAAAGGGUGCGUAGGCGGCUUUGCAAGUCAGAUGUGAAAUCUAUGGGCUCAACCCAUAAACUGCAUUUGAAACUGUAGAGCUUGAGUGAAGUAGAGGCAGGCGGAAUUCCCCGUGUAGCGGUGAAAUGCGUAGAGAUGGGGAGGAACACCAGUGGCGAAGGCGGCCUGCUGGGCUUUAACUGACGCUGAGGCACGAAAGCGUGGGUAGCAAACAGGAUUAGAUACCCUGGUAGUCCACGCUGUAAACGAUGAUUACUAGGUGUGGGGGGUCUGACCCCUUCCGUGCCGGAGUUAACACAAUAAGUAAUCCACCUGGGGAGUACGGCCGCAAGGUUGAAACUCAAAGGAAUUGACGGGGGCCCGCACAAGCAGUGGAGUAUGUGGUUUAAUUCGAAGCAACGCGAAGAACCUUACCAGGUCUUGACAUCCAACUAACGAAGUAGAGAUACAUUAGGUGCCCUUCGGGGAAAGUUGAGACAGGUGGUGCAUGGUUGUCGUCAGCUCGUGUCGUGAGAUGUUGGGUUAAGUCCCGCAACGAGCGCAACCCUUGCUAUUAGUUGCUACGCAAGAGCACUCUAAUAGGACUGCCGUUGACAAAACGGAGGAAGGUGGGGACGACGUCAAAUCAUCAUGCCCCUUAUGACCUGGGCUACACACGUACUACAAUGGAUGUUAACAGAGGGAAGCAAGACAGCGAUGUGGAGCAAACCCCUAAAAACAUUCUCAGUUCAGAUUGCAGGCUGCAACCCGCCUGCAUGAAAAUGGAAUUGCUAGUAAUCGCGGAUCAGCAUGCCGCGGUGAAUACGUUCCCG